rnacentral:rRNA from 1 species
GUGCACCAGGCGAGAAUCCUUUGCAAUGCAGGAAACUGCGACGAGGGAACUCCAAGUGCCUACGCUCAGCGUAGGCUGUUCUCAAGCCUAGAAAGCUUGAGGAGUAAGGGCUGGGUAAGACGGGUGCCAUCUGUGGUAGCAGUCAAUAGAUUCGAUUUGUUACUGCAAGGCAUAAGCCGCCGCGGUAAUACCCGCAGCCCAAGUGGUGGCCGCUUUUAUUGGGGCCUAAAGCGUCCGUAGCCGGCCCGGUAAAUGCCCUGGGGUAAAUCGUGGAGCCCCAACUUCACGAAUUCCGGGUAGACUG